CGGACAUGUCUACAACUGGGUUUAGGGAGAAUUAAAGGUGCUGUCCUGCUGGGAGUAGAGUGUUAAGAGGAGAAUUAAAGGUGCUGUCCUGCUGGGAGUAGACUGUUAAGAGGAGAAUUAAAGGUGCUGUCCUGCUGGGAGUAGACUGUUAAGAGGAGAAUUAAAGGUGCUGUCCUGCUGGGAGUAGAGUGUUAAGAGGAGAAUUAAAGGUUAAGGAGAAGACAUCACACGGUAUUUCCUUGGAGGAAACUGGACACUUUGGAGCGACUGAUCUGAUCUCACAACUGUUCUCGACAAAUAUCACAGUUUUACACACUUAAGAUUUAGAGCUGGCGGACGUUGUGGAGGCCGGUGGUUAGUCAGAGAUGAUUCCUCAUGAAGUCCAUGGAGCCAUC
rnacentral:lncRNA from 1 species